rnacentral:rRNA from 1 species
UACGGGGGGGCAAGCGUUGUUCGGAAUUACUGGGCGUAAAGGCUCGUAGGCGGCCAACUAAGUCGGACGUGAAAUCCCCGGGCUCAACCCGGGAACUGCGUCCGAUACUGGAAGGCUUGAAUCCGGGAGAGGGAUGUGGAAUUCCAGGUGUAGCGGUGAAAUGCGUAGAGAUCGGCAGGAACACCCAGGGGGAAACCAGCCGACUGGGCAUCUACUGACGCUGAGGUGCGAGAGCGUGGGGAGCGAACCGG